rnacentral:rRNA from 1 species
CCUACGGGGGACAGCAGUGGGGGAUAUUGCACAAUGGGGGAAACCCUGAUGCAGCGACGCCGCGUGUGGGAAGACGGUCUUCUGGAUUGUAAACCACUGUCCCCAGGGACGAAAAUGACGGUACCUGGGGAGGAAGCUCCGGCUAACUACGUGCCAGCAGCCGCGGUAAUACGUAGGGAGCAAGCGUUGUCCGGAAUUACUGGGUGUAAAGGGAGCGUAGGCGGGGAUGCAAGUUGGGUGUCAAAACUACCGGCUCAACCGAUAGUCGCACUUAAAACUGCAACUCUUGAGUGAAGUAGAGGCAGGCGGAAUUCCUAGUGUAGCGGUGAAAUGCGUAGAUAUUAGGAGGAACACCAGUGGCGAAGGCGGCCUGCUGGGCUUUUACUGACGCUGAGGCUCGAAAGUGUGGGGAGCAAACAGGAUUAGAUACCCGUGUAGUC